GUGCUCUCUUCGACAGCACAUAUACUAAAAUUGGAACGAUACAGAAAUUAGCAUGGCCCCUGUGCAAAGAUGACAUGCAUAUAAACAAUUGUUGGAAAAAUACCU
ensembl:snRNA U6 U6 spliceosomal RNA